rnacentral:rRNA from 1 species
GACGAACGCUGGCGGCAGGCCUAACACAUGCAAGUCGAACGAGUGGCGGACGGGUGAGUAAUGGCUGGGAAACUGCCAGAUGGAGGGGGGUAACUACUGGAAACGGUAGCUAAUACCGCAUACCAUCGGAUGUGCCCAGAUGGGAGUAGCUAGUAGGUGGGGUAACGGCUCACCUAGGCGACGAUCCCUAGCUGGUCUGAGAGGAUGACCAGCCACACUGGAACUGGGACCCGGUCCAGACUCCUACGGGCGGCAGCCGUGGGGAAUAUUGCACAAUGGGCGCAAGCCUGAUGCAGCCAUGCCGCGUGUAUGAAGAAGGCCUUCGGGUUGUAAAGUACUUUCAGCGAGGAGGCGUUACUCGCAGAAGAAGCACCGGCUAACUCCGUGCCAGCCGCCGCGGUAAUUC